rnacentral:rRNA from 1 species
UACAGAGGUCUCAAGCGUUGUUCGGAUUCAUUGGGCGUAAAGGGUGCGUAGGUGGCGCCGUAAGUCAGGUGUGAAAUCCCGGGGCUCAACCCCGGAACUGCACUUGAUACUGCGGUGCUCGAGUACUGGAGAGGAGAUUGGAAUUUACGGUGUAGCAGUGAAAUGCGUAGAUAUCGUAAGGAAGACCAGUGGCGAAGGCGGGUCUCUGGACAGUUCCUGACACUGAGGCACGAAGGCCAGGGGAGCAAACGGG